rnacentral:lncRNA from 1 species
ACACACACGCACACACACAGAACACGACGCGUCGAUUUCCUUCGCUCCUCUUCCAGCUGUUUUCCGUGCAGCCGAUUGGGGUUUUGGGCGCUCGGAGCAGCAUCUGAGAGGGCUCACUCUGAUCAUCAGCUGCACGUUAAGCCACAAACCGGCGUCGCUUCGGCGUUCCGGAACCCAGGCCUGGGGGCCGCGGGGAUUGCCUCUGCGUGCAACUCCGGAAAGUUUCAAGGGGUCCCCCGACUGCACAGGUCCGGAAAUCGGCUUUGAUAUGGAACUACUCCGCUCUAGCCUGGAAAGGAGACCCGCGCACUCCUCUCGCAGCUAAUUUCGGAUCAUUAAUUUAAUCGGAAAUGAGGUAACCAGUGUAGGAGACAGAGAAAGCAACCGGAGCAUCAAAUGGCAGUUCUCGAGAAUCGACGAGGAACUUAAAUCUGGACUCAGGGUUUCAGUGCGGUCUCCGACUCCCACCACCCCGCCCCUCCGCCUGUCUCGCCGCCAGGUGUGACCUCCACGCGAAGGAAUCUUCUUCGGAUGGGUGCACCUUGCCAA